rnacentral:rRNA from 1 species
AUUGGUGUUAAUAGCGAUAUGGUGCACCUGUUCCCAUCCCGAACACAGAAGUUAAGCAUAUCAGCGGUGACGAUAGCUUUAUGAGCAAAAAUAACACGAUGCCAAUA